UACAGAGACUGCAAGCGUUAUUCGGAUUCACUGGGCGUAAAGGGUGCGCAGGCGGCCGUGUGUGUCAGGUGUGAAAGCCCGGAGCUUAACUCCGGAAUUGCGCCUGAAACUACAUGGCUAGAGCAUUGGAGAGGGUAGCGGAAUUCACGGUGUAGCAGUGAAAUGCGUAGAUAUCUGGAGGAACACCGGUGGCGAAGGCGGCAUCCUGGACCGGUAUUGACGCUGAGGCGCGAAAGCUAGGGGAGCAAACGGG
rnacentral:rRNA from 1 species